CUUAGCGCCCGUUACGCUAAAAUGACCGGCAGAGCUGCAACAGACUGAUUCCGAUUCUGAACUCUUUAAUAGAUGACUUACAAAACAACAUUUAAUUUACUUUUGGAAAUGUUAUGCCAACACUCUUCCUGAUGCAUGAGAGUUGGCUUUCCAUCAAGAUGAAGGGUGUUUUUCCCACCAAACCCCUCCUCAACAAGCCAAAAGCAAUACACAACGAGUCACCUGCCGCUCUCUGGCCACCAUUUCAGUUCCAGUUAAAGCUGCUGGAGAAAGGAUUACAAAUAUCUG